rnacentral:rRNA from 1 species
UUAAGCGACUAAGCGUACACGGUGGAUGCCCUGGCAGUCAGAGGCGAUGAAGGACGUGCUAAUCUGCGAAAAGCGUCGGUAAGGUGAUAUGAACCGUUAUAACCGGCGAUGUCCGAAUGGGGAAACCCAGUGCAAUUCGUUGCACUAUCGUUAACUGAAUACAUAGGUUAACGAGGCGAACCGGGGGAACUGAAACAUCUAAGUACCCCGAGGAAAAGAAAUCAACCGAGAUUCCCCCAGUAGCGGCGAGCGAACGGGGAGCAGCCCAGAGUCUGAAUCAGCUUGUGUGUUAGUGGAACGGUCUGGAAAGUCCGACGGUACAGGGUGAUAGUCCCGUACACCAAAAUGCACAGGUUGUGAACUCGAAGAGUAGGGCGGGACACGUGGUAUCCUGUCUGAAUAUGGGGGGACCAUCCUCCAAGGCUAAAUACUCCUGACUGACCGAUAGUGAACCAGUACCGUGAGGGAAAGGCGAAAAGAACCCCGGCGAGGGGAGUGAAAAAGAACCUGAAACCGUGUACGUACAAGCAGUGGGAGCACCUUCGGGUGUGACUGCGUACCUUUUGUAUAAUGGGUCAGCGACUUAUAUUCUGUAGCAAGGUUAACCGUAUAGGGGAGCCGCAGGGAAACCGAGUCUUAACUGGGCGUUAAGUUGCAGGGUAUAGACCCGAAACCCGGUGAUCUAGCCAUGGGCAGGUUGAAGGUUGGGUAACACUAACUGGAGGACCGAACCGACUAAUGUUGAAAAAUUAGCGGAUGACUUGUGGCUGGGGGUGAAAGGCCAAUCAAACCGGGAGAUAGCUGGUUCUCCCCGAAAGCUAUUUAGGUAGCGCCUCGUGAACUCAUCUUCGGGGGUAGAGCACUGUUUCGGCUAGGGGGUCAUCCCGACUUACCAACCCGAUGCAAACUACGAAUACCGAAGAAUGUUAUCACGGGAGACACACGGCGGGUGCUAACGUCCGUCGUGAAGAGGGAAACAACCCAGACCGCCAGCUAAGGUCCCAAAGUCAUGGUUAAGUGGGAAACGAUGUGGGAAGGCACAGACAGCCAGGAUGUUGGCUUAGAAGCAGCCAUCAUUUAAAGAAAGCGUAAUAGCUCACUGGUCGAGUCGGCCUGCGCGGAAGAUGUAACGGGGCUAAACCAUGCACCGAAGCUGCGGCAGCGACACUAUGUGUUGUUGGGUAGGGGAGCGUUCUGUAAGCCUGCGAAGGUGACCUGUGAGGGUUGCUGGAGGUAUCAGAAGUGCGAAUGCUGACAUAAGUAACGAUAAAGCGGGUGAAAAGCCCGCUCGCCGGAAGACCAAGGGUUCCUGUCCAACGUUAAUCGGGGCAGGGUGAGUCGACCCCUAAGGCGAGGCCGAAAGGCGUAGUCGAUGGGAAACAGGUUAAUAUUCCUGUACUUGGUGUUACUGCGAAGGGGGGACGGAGAAGGCUAUGUUAGCCGGGCGACGGUUGUCCCGGUUUAAGCAUGUAGGCUGGUUGUCCAGGCAAAUCCGGAUAAUCAAGGCUGAGGUGUGAUGACGAGGCACUACGGUGCUGAAGUAACAAAUGCCCUGCUUCCAGGAAAAGCCUCUAAGCAUCAGGUAACAUUAAAUCGUACCCCAAACCGACACAGGUGGUCAGGUAGAGAAUACCAAGGCGCUUGAGAGAACUCGGGUGAAGGAACUAGGCAAAAUGGUGCCGUAACUUCGGGAGAAGGCACGCUGGUGUGUAGGUGAAGUCCCUGCGGAUGGAGCUGAGACCAGUCGAAGAUACCAGCUGGCUGCAACUGUUUAUUAAAAACACAGCACUGUGCAAACACGAAAGUGGACGUAUACGGUGUGACGCCUGCCCGGUGCCGGAAGGUUAAUUGAUGGGGUUAUCCGUAAGGAGAAGCUCUUGAUCGAAGCCCCGGUAAACGGCGGCCGUAACUAUAACGGUCCUAAGGUAGCGAAAUUCCUUGUCGGGUAAGUUCCGACCUGCACGAAUGGCGUAAUGAUGGCCAGGCUGUCUCCACCCGAGACUCAGUGAAAUUGAACUCGCUGUGAAGAUGCAGUGUACCCGCGGCAAGACGGAAAGACCCCGUGAACCUUUACUAUAGCUUGACACUGAACAUUGAGCCUUGAUGUGUAGGAUAGGUGGGAGGCUUUGAAGCGUGGACGCCAGUCUGCGUGGAGCCAACCUUGAAAUACCACCCUUUAAUGUUUGAUGUUCUAACGUUGGCCCCUUAUCGGGGUUGCGGACAGUGUCUGGUGGGUAGUUUGACUGGGGCGGUCUCCUCCCAAAGCGUAACGGAGGAGCACGAAGGUUAGCUAAUCCUGGUCGGACAUCAGGAGGUUAGUGCAAUGGCAUAAGCUAGCUUGACUGCGAGCGUGACGGCGCGAGCAGGUGCGAAAGCAGGUCAUAGUGAUCCGGUGGUUCUGAAUGGAAGGGCCAUCGCUCAACGGAUAAAAGGUACUCCGGGGAUAACAGGCUGAUACCGCCCAAGAGUUCAUAUCGACGGCGGUGUUUGGCACCUCGAUGUCGGCUCAUCACAUCCUGGGGCUGAAGUAGGUCCCAAGGGUAUGGCUGUUCGCCAUUUAAAGUGGUACGCGAGCUGGGUUUAGAACGUCGUGAGACAGUUCGGUCCCUAUCUGCCGUGGGCGCUGGAGAAUUGAGGGGGGCUGCUCCUAGUACGAGAGGACCGGAGUGGACGCAUCACUGGUGUUCGGGUUGUCAUGCCAAUGGCACUGCCCGGUAGCUAAAUGCGGAAGAGAUAAGUGCUGAAAGCAUCUAAGCACGAAACUUGCCCCGAGAUGAGUUCUCCCUGAGACUUUAAGUCUCCUGAAGGAACGUUAAAGACGAUGACGUUGAUAGGCCGGGUGUGUAAGCGCAGCGAUGCGUUGAGCUAACCGGUACUAAUGAACCGUGAGGCUUAACCUU